GGGCAGCUAGCUCAACGGUAGAGCAUCGCGUUUACAUCGCGGGGGUUACAGGUUCGAAUCCUGUGCUGCCCACCA
rnacentral:tRNA from 1 species